GGCGGCAGGCUUAACACAUGCAAGUCGAGCGCCUCGCAAGAGGAGCGGCAGACGGGUGAGUAACGCGUGGGAAUCUACCCAUCCUUACGGAACAACUCCGGGAAACUGGAGCUAAUACCGUAUACGCCCUUAGGGGGAAAGAUUUAUCGAGGAUGAUGAGCCCGCGUUGGAUUAGCUAGUUGGUGGGGUAAAGGCCUACCAAGGCGACGAUCCAUAGCUGGUCUGAGAGGAUGAUCAGCCACAUUGGGACUGAGACACGGCCCAAACUCCUACGGGAGGCAGCAGUGGGGAAUAUUGGACAAUGGGCGCAAGCCUGAUCCAGCCAUGCCGCGUGAGUGAUGAAGGCCCUAGGGUUGUAAAGCUCUUUCACCGGAGAAGAUAAUGACGGUAUCCGGAGAAGAAGCCCCGGCUAACUUCGUGCCAGCAGCCGCGGUAAUACGAAGGGGGCUAGCGUUGUUCGGAUUUACUGGGCGUAAAGCGCACGUAGGCGGAUCGAUCAGUCAGGGGUGAAAUCCCAGAGCUCAACUCUGGAACUGCCUUUGAUACUGUCGAUCUGGAGUAUGGAA
rnacentral:rRNA from 1 species